AGUUUGUAAAAUAAAUAAAUAUACUCCCUACCUCAACCACACAAUUCUUAUCCCACGCUUUUGCUACAUUUUUAAUUUUUUGGCAUGGGAUCGCGAGGAACGCACGAGAAAACGAUGGCCGGCCUUGUCAAUGUACAUGUAAUCUUGUAUUAAGGAGCAGAUAACAAUUUUGAAUUUUCUGGUACGGAACUAAUGAAAUGUGACUCGUCUAUAAAUUCAACUGUUUUCGUUGUUGUACCAACACAAGCAAUCAAACAAUUUACCAACAAAACAUCAACUAGAGAAAGAGAAAGAAAAAAAAAAGAUGGAAUCUGAUUUAUGCCCGCCUGGGAAGCUAAGCUGGCCGGAAUUGGUUGGAAAGAAUGGAGAAGAAGCAGCUGAAAUAAUUAAGCAAGAGAAUCCUCUUGUCGAUCCCAUUGUUUGAGAUAAAAUAUGGAGGCCAUAUGACUACAAUUGUUAUCGGGUUUUCGUAUUCGUUGAUUCGGAUGGUAUCGUUACUAGUCCUCCAGUGGCAGGUUAAGCAAUGCAUGAAUCAUGCAAAUAAUAUGUACACAUCAAAUUAUAUAAGUACUAAAUAAAUGAAUGUGUACGGGUAUGUAGCACGUAGUAGUGUAGUACGGAUCCGACUAUCCGAGUAUGUGAGAUUAUGAAAUAUGAAGUGAUGAUUCUGAUGAACUACUUGCAAUC